AUGAACGCUGGCGGCGUGCCUCAUACAUGCCAGUCGCGCGAACAGACGAGGAGCUUGCUCCUUUGACGUUAGCGGCGGACGGGUGAGUAACACGUGGAUAACCUACCUAUAAGACUGGGAUAACUUCGGGAAACCGGAGCUAAUACCGGAUAACAUGUUGAACCGCAUGGUUCAACAGUGAAAGACGGUCUUGCUGUCACUUAUAGAUGGAUCCGCGCCGCAUUAGCUAGUUGGUAAGGUAACGGCUUACCAAGGCAACGAUGCGUAGCCGACCUGAGAGGGUGAUCGGCCACACUGGAACUGAGACACGGUCCAGACUCCUACGGGAGGCAGCAGUAGGGAAUCUUCCGCAAUGGGCGAAAGCCUGACGGAGCAACGCCGCGUGAGUGAAGAAGGUCUUCGGAUCGUAAAACUCUGUUAUUAGGGAAGAACAAAUGUGUAAGUAACUAUGCACGUCUUGACGGUACCUAAUCAGAAAGCCACGGCUAACUACGUG
rnacentral:rRNA from 1 species